AUCCUUUGCUGAGGAUACGGUUAACGGAGCGAAAGCGACGUUCAACCGCAAAAGAAGCAGAGGGGGCUUAGUGGUGGGGUGACUGCGUACCUUUUGUAUAAUGGGUCAGCGACUUAUAUUCUGUAGCAAGGUUAACCGAAUAGGGGAGCCGGAGGGAAACCGAGUCUUAACCGGGCGUUAAGUUGCAGGGUAUAGACCCGAAACCCGGUGAUCUAGCCAUGGGCAGGUUGAAGGUUGGGUAACACUAACUGGAGGACCGAACCGACUAAUGUUGAAAAAUUAGCGGAUGACCUGUGGCUGGGGGUGAAAGGCCAAUCAAACCGGGAGAUAGCUGGUUCUCCCCGAAAGCUAUUUAGGUAGCGCCUCGUGAACUCAUCUCCGGGGGUAGAGCACUGUUUCGGCUAGGGGGCCAUCCCGGCUUACCAACCCGAUGCAAACUGCGAAUACCGGAGAAUGUUAUCACGGGAGACACACGGCGGGUGCUAACGUCCGUCGUGAAGAGGGAAACAACCCAGACCGCCAGCUAAGGUCCCAAAGUCAUGGUUAAGUGGGAAACGAUGUGGGAAGGCCCAGACAGCCAGGAUGUUGGCUUAGAAGCAGCCAUCAUUUAAAGAAAGCGUAAUAGCUCACUGGUCGAGUCGGCCUGCGCGGAAGAUGUAACGGGGCUAAACCAUGCACCGAAGCUGCGGCAGCGACACUCAGGUGUUGUUGGGUAGGGGAGCGUUCUGUAAGCCUGCGAAGGUGGCCUGUGAGGGUUGCUGGAGGUAUCAGAAGUGCGAAUGCUGACAUAAGUAACGAUAAAGCGGGUGAAAAGCCCGCUCGCCGGAAGACCAAGGGUUCCUGUCCAACGUUAAUCGGGGCAGGGUGAGUCGACCCCUAAGGCGAGGCCGAAAGGCGUAGUCGAUGGGAAACGGGUUAAUAUUCCCGUACUUGGUGUUACUGCGAAGGGGGGACGGAGAAGGCUAUGUUGGCCGGGCGACGGUUGUCCCGGUUUAAGCGUGUAGGUGUGUGUUCCAGGUAAAUCCGGUUCACUUUAACACUGAGGCGUGAUGACGAGGCACUACGGUGCUGAAGCAACAAAUGCCCUGCUUCCAGGAAAAGCCUCUAAGCAUCAGGUAACAUCAAAUCGUACCCCAAACCGACACAGGUGGUCAGGUAGAGAAUACCAAGGCGCUUGAGAGAACUCGGGUGAAGGAACUAGGCAAAAUGGUGCCGUAACUUCGGGAGAAGGCACGCUGACACGUAGGUGAAGUGAUUUACUCAUGGAGCUGAAGUCAGUCGAAGAUACCAGCUGGCUGCAACUGUUUAUUAAAAACACAGCACUGUGCAAACACGAAAGUGGACGUAUACGGUGUGACGCCUGCCCGGUGCCGGAAGGUUAAUUGAUGGGGUCAGCGCAAGCGAAGCUCCUGAUCGAAGCCCCGGUAAACGGCGGCCGUAACUAUAACGGUCCUAAGGUAGCGAAAUUCCUUGUCGGGUAAGUUCCGACCUGCACGAAUGGCGUAAUGAUGGCCAGGCUGUCUCCACCCGAGACUCAGUGAAAUUGAACUCGCUGUGAAGAUGCAGUGUACCCGCGGCAAGACGGAAAGACCCCGUGAACCUUUACUAUAGCUUGACACUGAACAUUGAGCCUUGAUGUGUAGGAUAGGUGGGAGGCUUUGAAGUGUGGACGCCAGUCUGCAUGGAGCCGGCCUUGAAAUACCACCCUUUAAUGUUUGAUGUUCUAACGUGGACCCGUGAUCCGGGUUGCGGACAGUGUCUGGUGGGUAGUUUGACUGGGGCGGUCUCCUCCUAAAGAGUAACGGAGGAGCACGAAGGUUGGCUAAUCCUGGUCGGACAUCAGGAGGUUAGUGCAAUGGCAUAAGCCAGCUUGACUGCGAGCGUGACGGCGCGAGCAGGUGCGAAAGCAGGUCAUAGUGAUCCGGUGGUUCUGAAUGGAAGGGCCAUCGCUCAACGGAUAAAAGGUACUCCGGGGAUAACAGGCUGAUACCGCCCAAGAGUUCAUAUCGACGGCGGUGUUUGGCACCUCGAUGUCGGCUCAUCACAUCCUGGGGCUGAAGUAGGUCCCAAGGGUAUGGCUGUUCGCCAUUUAAAGUGGUACGCGAGCUGGGUUUAGAACGUCGUGAGACAGUUCGGUCCCUAUCUGCCGUGGGCGCUGGAGAACUGAGGGGGGCUGCUCCUAGUACGAGAGGACCGGAGUGGACGCAUCACUGGUGUUCGGGUUGUCAUGCCAAUGGCACUGCCCGGUAGCUAAAUGCGGAAGAGAUAAGUGCUGAAAGCAUCUAAGCACGAAACUUGCCCCGAGAUGAGUUCUCCCUGAGACUUUAGGUCUCCUGAAGGAACGUUGAAGACGACGACGUUGAUAGGCCGGGUGUGUAAGCGCAGCGAUGCGUUGAGCUAACCGGUACUAAUGAACCGUGAGGCUUAACCUUACA
rnacentral:rRNA from 1 species